rnacentral:rRNA from 1 species
GCWUAUCAAUAAGCGGAGGA